CAGUCGCCACGGUAAUACGUAGGUGGCAAGCGUUGUCCGGAAUUAUUGGGCGUAAAGGGCUCGCAGGCGGUUCCUUAAGUCUGAUGUGAAAGCCCCCGGCUCAACCGGGGAGGGUCAUUGGAAACUGGGAAACUUGAGUGCAGAAGAGGAGAGUGGAAUUCCACGUGUAGCGGUGAAAUGCGUAGAGAUGUGGAGGAACACCGGUGGCGAAGGCGACUCUCUGGUCUGUAACUGACGCUGAGGAGCGAAAGCGUGGGGAGCGAACAGGAUUAGAUACCCAGUAGUCCCUGUCUCUUAUACA
rnacentral:rRNA from 1 species